CACUCCUACGGGAGGCAGCAGUGGGGAAUUUUGGACAAUGGGCGAAAGCCUGAUCCAGCAAUGCCGCGUGUGUGAAGAAGGCCUUCGGGUUGUAAAGCACUUUUGUCCGGAAAGAAAUCCUUGGCUCUAAUACAGUCGGGGGAUGACGGUACCGGAAGAAUAAGCACCGGCUAACUACGUGCCAGCAGCCGCGGUAAUACGUAGGGUGCGAGCGUUAAUCGGAAUUACUGGGCGUAAAGCGUGCGCAGGCGGUUUGCUAAGACCGAUGUGAAAUCCCCGGGCUCAACCUGGGAACUGCAUUGGUGACUGGCAGGCUAGAGUAUGGCAGAGGGGGGUAGAAUUCCACGUGUAGCAGUGAAAUGCGUAGAGAUGUGGAGGAAUACCGAUGGCGAAGGCAGCCCCCUGGGCCAAUACUGACGCUCAUGCACGAAAGCGUGGGGAGCAAACAGGAUUAGAAACCCCAGUAGUCCCAUGAU
rnacentral:rRNA from 1 species